CAGAUAUUAGUUUUAUAUAAAAUUUUAAUUUUGGAGAUUAAAGAUAGAAAAAUUUUCUAUAUCUGA
rnacentral:tRNA from 1 species